rnacentral:lncRNA from 1 species
UUUGUUUUAAGAAAUCAAUGGCAGUUUUUUAAUUUAAAAGAAGUCAAAAGCCUUUUUGUUAUGUUGUAAAUGGGCUUUGGGUGUGUUUCUAAAGGCCAUUUCAUAUAGUUUUUUUUUUUAAUAGUUUGGACUCCUAUAUUGGGUAUAAUAGUGAAUCUCCCUUAAAACUUCUGGUUUUUUUUAUAGCUUUUUUUGAAUUG